CACCAUUUUUAUGGAUGAUGUCGCAGACAAAGGGAAGGGGAGAUCCUUCAGAUGCUGUCCUGCUCGCGUCCCUCGCGGGAACUUAGGAGCGUCUUAGCUAAGGUCUGUCCGUAUAAACCCUGGACCAGGCUACUCCGUGGAGUAGAUGACCGUUAUGCCAUAUGACGCCCCGUGAGACUCAGGGUGCAGCCCACUCAGAU